rnacentral:rRNA from 1 species
UUAAUCCUACGGGAGGCAGCAGUGGGGAAUAUUGCACAAUGGGGGAAACCCUGAUGCAGCGACGCCGCGUGAGUGAAGAAGUAUUUCGGUAUGUAAAGCUCUAUCAGCAGGGAAGAGAAUGACGGUACCUGACUAAGAAGCCCCGGCUAACUACGUGCCAGCAGCCGCGGUAAUACGUAGGGGGCAAGCGUUAUCCGGAUUUACUGGGUGUAAAGGGAGCGUAGACGGCCAGACAAGUCAGAAGUGAAAGCCCAGGGCUC